GCCCGAUUCCAAAAGCCCAGGGGGUGGGCCUCGCCCUUCCUCUCCCUCCAGGUUUAAUUAUCUGAAGAGUCUUGGACUUUCAUUUCUUGUUUUUUGCUUGUUUGCUUGUUUGUUUGCACCUGGUUGAUGUAUAAGUCUUGGACUUUGGGAGACCCAAAAGAGAAGGAAGGUGUUGGCAAUAUCCUUGAAGAGACUAAAAGAACUCAGAACAACACUGAACAAGCCAGCAGAGCCAUCAACUCACCCCUACAGUCUCCAUACACAGACUCCAUGAAAGCAUUGGCCAUCAGCUCUCACUGGUGUGGAUAUGUCACCAGUGGGGUAGAGUUGUUCCUCUCUCUGACACUGUAUUAGUCCAUUCUCACACUGCUAUUAAAAAACAAACAAACAAACUU
rnacentral:lncRNA from 1 species